rnacentral:rRNA from 1 species
UACGGGGGGGGCAAGCGUUGUUCGGAAUUACUGGGCGUAAAGCGCACGUAGGCGGCUUACUAAGUCAGGGGUGAAAUCCUGGAGCUCAACUCCAGAACUGCCUUUGAUACUGGUGAGCUUGAGUCCGGAAGAGGUGAGUGGAACUGCGAGUGUAGAGGUGAAAUUCGUAGAUAUUCGCAAGAACACCAGUGGCGAAGGCGGCUCACUGGCCCGAUACUGACGCUGAGGCACGAAAGCGUGGGGAGCAAACAGG